GGCAGUUCUUCCGGCUUGUGAGCGGCCUUCCCGGCAGCCCCUGCGGCCUGAGAGGCCUGAGGCUUCCUAGAAAUGACGGGGGACCGGCCUCCUCCCUCUGGGCCGUUGCGAAAUCCUUUCGCCCUCUGGCAGCCCGGCCAGACCUGGCACGAGCUCCGUGGCAGGGCCGAGCGCAGCCCCAGGGAGAGACCAGGCUGGGGUGUCAGUGUCCACAGAGCAAAAGAAAUCACAUGAUUCACCAACAACAACGCCUAACACAGCUCGCCUCCAGAUCCAAGCUUUUACGUUUGAAGUAGCGGGUCGUCCCGCUGGGACUCGAGGAAUGAAUGGAAACUAAUGUUACACCCGUCCCAACAAAUGCUGCGCCUGUCCUGUGAACCGGUAUUGCAACAGAGCCUGGGGUGCUGCCAUGGAAGGAAUACCGACUGGGCAUCAGAAAACUAGUUCUAGCCCUGGCUGGUCUGGCUCAGUGGAUAGAGCUUUGGCCUGUGCACUGAAGGGUCCGGAGUUCCAUUCCGGUCAAGGGUACAUGCCCAGGUUCAGGCUCGACCCCCCAGUAGGGGGCGUAUGGGAGGUAGUCAAUCAAUGAUUGUCUCUCAUCGUUGAUGUUUCAAUCUCUCCCCCUCUCCCUUCCUCUCUCUGAAACAAAUAAAAAAAUAAAGAAAAAUAGUUCUAAAAUCUUCGUCAAGUCACUUUAUAUCUCUGAACGUUCCUUUCCUCACAAUGUGGUUUUUGCG